UUUCAGAUGCCCACUAAGAAGUAAGUCCACAAGGCAAUGGAACUUUUCUGUUCUGUUUACUGCUACAUCCCUUGCAACUGGAACAGCACUUGGAACAUGACAAGAGUUCAGUAAAUGAAUGCUACUUCAAGGGAUAGAAGCAAGAGGAGAGUCAGUUCCCCAACUGAGAGCUCCAUUCCCACCAGAUAAGGAAAAGGAUCCUCACAACUGAAGAGAGUCCCCGUGAUUCUGUUUGCUUUCUCUCCAAAGGGCUGCAGAGAAGGAGUGGAAAAGAAUGUAAAUUCCUAACCCCACAUAUAGCUCAAGUGUGGAAGUGUAUA